GUAUAGCGAUAUAUGGGUGGCGACCGGCAAACGGGUGCGGAACACGUUACACCACCUUCCGGUGAGUGGGGGAUAGCCCAGAGAAAUUUGGAUUAAUACCCCCUACUAUAAUGAUCAGGCAUCUGGUUAUUAUCAAAGGCUUCGGCCGCUUAUUGAUGGGUGUGCGUCUGAUUAGGAAGUUGGCGGGGUAGAGGCCCACCAAGCCUACCAUCAGUAGCUGAUGUGAGAGCAUGAUCAGCCACACGGGCACUGAGACACGGGCCCGACUCCUACGGGAGGCAGCAUUAAGGAAUAUUGGACAAUGGACGCAAGUCUGAUCCAGCCAUGCCGCGUGAAGGAUGACUGCCCUCUGGGUUGUAAACUUCUUUUAUAGGGGAAGAAAGUUAUCUUUUUUAAGAUAUUUGACGGUACCCUAUGAAUAAGCACCGGCUAACUCCGUGCCAGCAGCCGCGGUAAUACGGAGGGUGCAAGCGUUAUCCGGAUUCACUGGGUUUAAAGGGUGCGUAGGCGGGUAUGUAAGUCAGUGGUGAAAUACCGGAGCUUAACUUCAGAACUGCCAUUGAUACUAUAUAUCUUGAAUAUUGUGGAGGUAAGCGGAAUAUGUCAUGUAGCGCUGAAAUGCUUAGAGAUGACAUAUAACACCGAUUGCGAACGCAGCUUGCUACGCAAAUAUUGACGCUGAGGCACGAUAGCGUGGGGAUCAAACAGGAUUACAUACCCUGGUAGUCCACGCCCUAAACGAUGAUUACUCGACAUUAGCGAUACACAGUUAGUGUCUGACCGAAAGCAUUAAGUAAUCCACCUGGGAAGUACG
rnacentral:rRNA from 1 species